AAUCUGGGGUCCCCGACCUCCGAGUUGUAAUUUGGAGAGGCAUCUUCGGGGGGGAGCGCCGGCCCAUGUUCCUUGGAACAGGACGUCAGAGAGGGUGAGAAUCCCGUGCCAGGCCGGCUCCCUCCUCCCGGGUGAAGCGCCUUCGACGAGUCGAGUUGUUUGGGAAUGCAGCUCCAAGUGGGUGGUAAGUUUCAUCUAAAGCUAAAUACCGGCGGGAGACCGAUAGCGCACAAGUAGAGUGAUCGAAAGAUGAAAAGCACUUUGAAAAUAGAGUCAAAAAGUACGUGAAAUUGUUGAAAGGGAAGCGCUUGAGACCAGACUCAGGCCCGGGCAAACACCGCGCCCCCCGGGGCCGUGCAAUUGCCUGGGGCUGGGCCAGCAUCAGUCGGCGUGGCGGGACAAAGUCGUGGGGAAUGUGGCUCCCCUCGGGGAGUGUUACCAGCCCCGCGCUCAAUGCCGCCGACGUCGACUGAGGACCGCGCCUCGGCUAGGAUGCUGGCUUAAUGGCCUUCAGCGACCCGUCUUGAAACACGGACCAAGGAGUCUAACAUCUAUGCGAGUGUUUGGGCGUCAAACCCUUGCGCGGAAUGAAAGUGAGCGGAGGUGGGAACCCCCCAGCGGGGCGCACCAUCGACCGAUCCUGAUGUCUUCGGAUGGAUUUGAGUA
rnacentral:rRNA from 1 species